GUGCUUGCUUAAGCAGCAUGUACACUAAAGUUAGAACGAUACAUAGAAGAUUAGCAUAGUCUCUGUGCAAAGAUGACGUGCAGAUUAGUGAAGCAUUCCAUAUGGUU